rnacentral:ncRNA from 1 species
CAGCGUUCUCAGGGCGGGGCGAAAUUCCCCACCGGCGGUAUCCAGGCCCGGUCGCCAGACCGAUGACCCUGGGAGCCCGCGAGCGCCCGGCACCGCCCUUGCGGCGCCGGGGUCAGCAGACCUGGUGAGAGGCCAGGGCCGACGGUCACAGUCCGGAUGAAAGAGAUCGCGU